rnacentral:rRNA from 1 species
UACGUAGGGUGCAAGCGUUAAUCGGAAUUACUGGGCGUAAAGCGUGCGCAGGCGGCUUUGCAAGACAGAUGUGAAAUCCCCGGGCUUAACCUGGGAACUGCAUUUGUGACUGCAUGGCUAGAGUGCGGCAGAGGGGGAUGGAAUUCCGCGUGUAGCAGUGAAAUGCGUAGAUAUGCGGGAGGAACACCGAUGCGAAGGCAAUCCCCUGGGCCUGCACUGACGCUCAUGCACGAAAGCGUGGGGAGCAAACAGG